UUAUAUUUGAGAGUUUGAUCCUGGCUCAGGAUGAACGCUGGCGGCGUGCCUAACACAUGCAAGUCGAGCGGAGGCAAUGCUUAACAUUGAGUAUUUAUCUAAAAAAGGUUAUCAUCUAGCCGCAAAGCAUAACACAUGAUGAGUAUUGAAUGUUAAGUAUUGCCUCAGCGGCGGACGGGUGAGUAACGCGUGGGUAACCUGCCCUGUACACUUGGAUAACACACCGAAAGGUGUGCUAAUACAAGAUGAUAUCAAAGGAAGGCAUCUUCUUUUGAUCAAAGCUUUUGCGGUACAGGAUGGGCCCGCGUCCCAUUAGCUAGUUGGUGGGGUAACGGCCUACCAAGGC
rnacentral:rRNA from 1 species